GGGAAGGCGCCGUCUGCUCGCAGGCGAGAGAGACGGAGAGGACGCGCCAAGGACUCCCGUGAUGCAACGCUUCUCGUGGUGAGCCCUCGGAGCCAGGCUCCCCGGAGCCCGCAGGCCGAGUUGACCCCUCACAUAUUCCUCCAACUUCCUGGACCGCUCUCCUAUCACUCCCUCCCUCCCUCCCUCCCAUCCCCUUCCCCCUCCCUCCCACCAUGGCACGGCACCGCCACUGUUGUCUUUUCCCACCCGGGUGUCUUUGCUCUAUUCACGCACACACGCACUUUUCCACACGAGCAGCGGCCAAAUGGCCUGCCCUCUGUUUCAUAUUGCUUGUGGUCAAGUUUUGUUUUUGUCUUUGACGCUUUGACUUUAGCUCACAAAGCCCAGGAGGGCUCCUACAGCCUAGGGAGUGACACACACAGACACACACACUUGCGCCAAGCUGAAGAGUUCCGCUCUGAGAACCUCGGGCAUCUUCUCCAGCUUCUGUCAGAGCCAUGAUGUCAUUAUGAAGAGGCACAAUGCCUCUUCAUUACACCCCCCAACUCUCCACAUGCACACACAACCUUGACACACACAUGGACGCACGCACGCACGCACGCACGCACGCGGGCGAGACGACAGCCUCGGUGCAGUAAGGCCACGCGAGGGCGGCCCGUGCGGGUGGCACGUCCACCUCGCGGUCCAGACCUUCUGGGUUGGAAAGUCCACUCUGCAAAAGUUAAGAUGGACCUUCAAUCACAUGACUUUGGAGUCAGCCAGCCU